GCCACAAAAUAUUCGCAAAGUUUUAGUCGAUUUAAUUAUAAAAUCGUUAUUGGAAAUUCCACUAUCGAUUGACGGUAAUUUGCAGGUGCCAGAAUUAAAAAAUUACCACUUUCAAAUUUUAAGUAAUAAAUUGUAUGACAUUUUCACAAAAGAAGUUCCAGAGAUAUAUUUCAUUCCUCCAAAAACAGAAAGUAAAAAUCAAACUAUUGCACGUGGAAAAUUUGUUGACAAAUAUAGAAACUGGCGUACUACUCAAAAGGAAUUAAGCUUAAUUGAUUCGAAAAAUUCCACAGUUGAAAGUGAUGAAGAGGAAAAUUGUGCCCCUGCUGACAAACUUCCCAAUGAACAUAUCCUUUGGUUGCAAAAUAAUAAUGCUCCGUGGAGAAGCGUUCUCAAUCACUGGCAAUUGAGUGUUGAAGACAGAUUGCUAGAAUUUAAACACAACUUGGAAGGUGCUAAGAAGAUAUUUGACAAAUAUACAGUUU
rnacentral:lncRNA from 13 species